GCAUGGAUAGCUUAGUUGGUUAGAGUGUGGUGCUGAUAAUGCCCAGACUGCAGGUUCAAUCCUUGUAUGGGACAGCUGCA